UCAGGACCCUGAGAUCAAGAGUCCCUUGCUCUACUGAGUCAGAUGAGAAAUCAGGACCCAGAGAACAGCAAGGACUCGGCCAAGGUCACCCCAGACCGAGACCACUGAGUGGCAAAACUUACUGGAGCUCAGAGGCAUGUAGCACCUGUGACCUGCCUUGGGAGGAUGGACUACAAUG